AAAAAACAGGGGUUGAAAGGGGAAGUAUUCCCCUUCCGUAGUCAGAAGGGUGCUCAGACGACUUUGUCGUCGUCGAAGGGAAA
rfam:Alkaliphilus metalliredigens QYMF, complete genome.